rnacentral:rRNA from 1 species
UNCAUGCAGUCGAACGGCAGCGCGAGAGAGCUUGCUCUCUUGGCGGCGAGUGGCAUGGACGGCGUGAGUAAUAUAUCGGAACGUGCCCAGUAGCGGGGGCAUAACUAGCUCGAAAGAGUGGCUAAAUACCGCAUACGCCCUACGGGGGAAAGAGUGGGGGGAUCGGCAAGACCUCUCACUAUUGGAGCGGCCGAUAUCGGAUUAGCUAGUUGGUGGGGUAAAGGCUCACCAAGGCAACGAUCCGUAGCUGGUUUGACGAGGACGACCAGCCACACUGGUGACUGAGACACGGCCCAGACUCCGUACGGGAGGCAGCAGUGGGGAAUUUUGGACAAUGGGGGAAACCCUGUAUCCAGCGCAUCCCGCGUGUAUGAUGAAGGCCUUCGGGUUGUAAAGUUCACUUUUGGCAGAGAAGAAAAGGUAUCCCCUAAUACGGGAUACUGCUGACGGUAUCUGCAGAAUAAGCACCGGCUAACUACGUGCCAGCAGCCGCGGUAAUACGUAGGGUGCAAGCGUUAAUCGGAAUUACUGGGCGUAAAGCGUGUGUAGGCGGUUCGGAAAGAAAGAUGUGAAAUCCCAGGGCUCAACCUUGGAACUGCAUUUUUAACUGCCGAGCUAGAGUAUGUCAGAGGGGGGUAGAAUUCCACGUGUAGCAGGUGAAAUGCGUAGAUGUAUGUGGAGGAAUACCGAUGGCGAAAGGCAGCCAUUCCCUGGGAUAAUACUGACGCUCAGACC